rnacentral:misc_RNA from 1 species
AGUAUGAAGAUCAGCAAUACCCAGCAUUAAAUCCAUUUCAAUGACUUCAGAUUCAGUUCCAGUGAGCACUUCAAUAUCAUAGUUCAGAGAAUUGUCCUCGGCAGCUUUCUGCAACCGUUUAUUGGCUUCAGAUAUGACUCCUAGGAAGUCUUUCACUUUUCCCAGAACUUGGCUUUGGGCAACUGGACUAGUAGUGGGCUUUCCAUCUGGUGGGGCUUUCUUGGUAUGGGAGACCGACUCCCUUUUACAGACAAGAAGUGUGGAUUCAAUAGAAGAGGCGGCUGAGAGAUUCUUUUGCUCCAAAUGCAGAAGUUCUCUGCUUGAACUGCCCAUCUCUC